rnacentral:lncRNA from 1 species
CCGCGCUGGUCCCAAAGAGGAGCAUGAGCUCAGGGUUUGUUUCCGUCACCUGGAAGGCAAUCGUCAGAGCCUGCCAUGUGUGCAUGUGGAUGUCUCUGUGUAUUUUGAGAACACUUUUAAAAGGGAAGCAGCCAAAGUAUUUUUAUUGCUCAGCAGGCACUGUUUCAUGUUGGAGUGUUGGAAAGAAACAGAAGAGAAAGAAAAGAGAGGGAGGAGAAGAUUUAAGACCAGCGCACAGAUUGAAAUGGUUAAUGCGUUCUCGGGCUGGAGAACAAGCGCUCUGAGUACUGAAGACUCCUCCCAUCUCCACGUCUCCAAAUGUCCCCACGUAAAUUCCAGGAUCCACACAUCAGAGGCGCCUGCCACCGAGCUGGGCGUGAACUCUGAAGACCAGAGGAAGAGACUGAGGGUCAAGAGGGCCAUACAGCUAAUAAGUAUGAGAGUCGGGAUUUGAAUCCAGAUCUUCUUAGACUUCCUCCAAGGUGCGUUUUUUGCACACAGGGUGGUUUAAAGAUUUUUAAACAGUGCAGAGACAGGAUGUGAGACCUUGAGUGGGGUCGGGGUGAAACCUUGGGGCUGGGCGAGAAGGUCAGUGUGAAGAACAGUCUAGAGCAGGCAUCUGCAAACAGUGUCUGCAAACAGUGUCUGCAAAGGGCUUUGCGGUCGUUGUUGCAUAUUCUUCUUUAUUUUUGUCAUGUGGUUGGAUUUAACAACUCUUUAGAAACAUAGAAAUAUUCUUAGCUUGAGGGCUAUGAAAAUAGUCUAAGGGCUGGAUUUGACCACUGGCUGUCAUGUGCUGCCUGGUUAUGGGGAGCCAUUCAGAAGGCUGCCAAAUUACCCUAUGUGGG